GCACAGUGUGAUUGUUAAACCUUGGCGGAGGUCUGUGGGAUUAAUCAUUUGAGAACCCAGAAGAGAGAAAACAUGAAGAUUGUUAACGCGACACACUGGGACAAACACGAAUGUCACAUGUAUGUAGGUAUAUAGAAGUAGAUUUAGCUCAUUAGCGAAAAGGCAGAUUGACUUUGAAAUGUUUUUUUUUUUUUUUACUUAAAAGUCUCUUCUGGUUGGAGUAAAUAAUGGCUCAGAUGCAGUUUCAGGCAAGCUGAAAAGGUGACUCGAAAGAUGACCACGUUGGCACUCCGCUCGUGUCCAUCAAUGCUAAAAGUUGAUGGCAGCAGGCUCGCAGCUAGCGGCGUGAAUUCUUCUCAUUUGCUUCUGGAGUUUAGCUGCUGGUGUCAGCUCGCUGGCAGGUUAAAAAAAAAAAAACUGCUCAUCUUCAAGGUGAGAACGGUUUUUGAAAAGUGCGCCAACAGGAUUAGGCGCUGCUGCGCUGCUCGCACGCCACCGCGCGUAUUCCAGCCAAUGCUGCCACUAGCUAGGAUCCAACAUAGGCACUGUCUCUCCUCAGAACGGCACUUAACCAAUCCAAAUCAGCCCUGCUGCGCGAAUUACACGGAGACUCCAAAGUCACGCAUGUAAUCCUUCGGGAGCAGCAUUUAGCUACACUUAGCACAUUUCCCUGCGACAACCUGUGGCCUGGUCUAACAAGUGUAGCACCAGCGUGCAAAAGAGACACCCCGUUGCUAUGCUCGAUGCAAUGCAAACCCUUGGAUAUGAUCACAUUUGGAAACCUUCCACAGUGGUAGCGUUCAAAGAUUUGCUUUAGGGUUGUGGGUGAGGGUCCAGGGAUAGUCUUAGUGUUAGAGGUGAGGGUGAAGGGGGUCCUAAUUACAUUCAUAGGUUGGGCUCUGGGGGAUAGGCUUCGGUUUCAAGAUGAGGGUAAAGGGGUAAGCCUUACAUUUAUGAUUCGGGACUGGGUUGAUGGGGAGAGUUAAGUGUUUGGGAUUAGAUUAGGAUAACGUAGGGUAGAGUUAAAGGUACAGGGUUAGGGUAAUGGGUUAUUAAGGUUCCAGGCAAGGGUUUGGGUUAAGCGUUUCGUCUAUAAGGAAUGAGGUUGAAAAAAAAAAAUGCGUCCCGUUAAGGCUAGCGUACAUCUAAAUCGAUGCCACGUCAUCCCCAUCAGGCGUGUUAAUUGUCUACGUUACAUUCAAUUCAAGGAAGGGGCGAGGGAGGGAGUGGAUGCAGCUUCUGCUGCCGUUCCUGCGGUAGGUAGUUGGCGGGAAUGUACCACGGGCCGUAUAGCACAGUGCUUACAUCGUAUGAGACUCGUUACAUUUCUCAAUAUUUAGAAUUAUAUAGAUCGACAUCAAUAACGACAACGACGACAACACAAGAGUAACGCAAACGCGUUGAAAAACGGCAUGAUGUAUUGCUCUGGAAAAAGAAAAAAAAAACAACCCCACAUUUAUCCUAGCGCGUGAGCGUUUGUGUGCCCUUUAAUGUGUGUAAGACGGUGUAGUGGGCAGCUAAACGGGGU